ensembl:lncRNA
AUAUAUUUUGUUAUAUGAAUAUCUGAACAUACAAAACAACCAAAGAAAGAACAGAAAACAUUUUAUUCUAGCAUUACAUCUACAUGGGUCUUCUAUUUAAGUUACACAGUUUUGAGUUACACAGCGCCCCUCUACCAUAUAACAAUGAAAACAUGGAUUCCCGAAGCAUAGCUCAAAUAUAUUUAGAGUUUUUCUAAGUAUAAGUCAAGUAUACUUAAAUGUCAUUUUAAGUAUAUAUCUGAAGAGUACAUAAAGCCCAUUUCUGAGAAGUACAUAAAAAGUAAACUAAAAGCAUACUUUCAUAUUUUAAGUUUAAAAGAAGUAUACUAAUAGCACACUUGUAUGAACUUCUUUUUCGUAAGGGUAAAGAAACAAUCAGAAAAAGCGAAGUAGUCAGGUGAAAAUGAAGCACCAUUGUAAGAGGGUGGGCCUUUUACAAAAUGUCAAAAAGAGAAUGAAGACAAACCAGUUUAGAAAACAUCAGCUUUUCCCGGUCAGCAGAUGUACACAAGUCUAGUUAGCGACAUAGAAAGCUAGCACUGUAUCAGACAAAGACUUGUUUCUCUGAGUAAAAAAAAAAAUAAUAUCUCACUUUUCUUCUGAGCACAUUGUAAAACAACUACAGCUGCUCUUAGGAAAAAGGCAUCAUGGAUAGCUCCACAUCAGUGUCGAUUGGGAUAGCCGUGGCGUUUGGGAUCUUGGGAUUGUUCGUGCUGAUCUGUUUGGUGCAGCUCUGCAUCAAGAAAAUCAAAUGUUGCGAUUGCAAAAAGCCUUCAGUGAAAGACAAAAUUUUAAAGAAAGUUGGGAUUACAAAAUCUUCACCUCCGUUUUCAAUCAGCAGACUCGUUGACAAGAAAUAACGGCCAUCAAUGCUCAUAUGACAUUCUCUCAAUGUAAAUACAUAGUGUACAUACCCACCUUUUUUAUUUUACAACACCUGUAACUAAAUAUUUCCAUAUUAUUAUGAAAUCUGUCAAUUAUUAUUUUUUAUUUCUGUGAAAAGUGUGAAUAACGUUUCUGAGGUAAAGAUGUCAGUGAUGUUAGGGAUGUUGAUGAGUCAUAACUGUUUAAGAUCAUUUUCCCACAGCUAGGGAAAAAACAGCACACCUUCAUUGCUCUAUGCGAUCGCUUCUCUUGUUGUUUUUCUUAUUCUCUGACAUUCUGUGAAUUUUGUCACUGUUUCAGUGUCACCACAGAAACAUAACACAGCCUUCUUCUCAAGCCAAACUGUUUCUAAGUAAAAAAUAAUGUCAAAGGUCACCAUAUGCACUGAUGAAAUAUUAGUCUCUUCAGUCGCAGUAGAAAGAUCACAAUAUCUUCAUUGUGAUUUAUAAGUCCUCUCUGGUGAUAUAUUUCCUGUUAAGCAACAUUAUGUAUGUGAUGAAAUAUUGAUCUUGACUCUAUAAUAAUAUCUGAUUGUAAUUUUUUUAAAGGAAUAUGUAGUCAUAUUUGGUCAGAUUUAUUAGUCUAGUAUAUUAUCCUCUGUACAUAUGUGUGUGUGUGUGUGUGUGUGUGCAUGUGUCUUCAAAUAUUAUCCUUUAUUAGUUGUUUAAUGUUAUUUUUCAGUUCAACUUUCCACUCAAAUUGUUUUGUUCAUAUUCUAUAAAAAAAUAUUCAAUUUAUAAAAUUAGAAGCAUUUUGGACCCCAUUGAACAUUUCUGUUGUGGUUCCUUUUCCUCUUUGUUCUUUGGUUAUCAUCGUUGUUUUUCAUUUGAUUCAGUUUAUGGCAGUGUCUCAUAGCAGCGCACUAAACCGCAAGCCAAACAGAG